rnacentral:rRNA from 1 species
UACGUAGGUGGCAAGCGUUGUCCGGAUUUAUUGGGUUUCAAGGGUGCGUAGGCGGCUUUGUAAGUCAGUGGUGAAAUACGGUAGCUCAACUAUCGAGGUGCCAUUGAUACUGCGGAGCUUGAGUACAGAUGGGGUAGGCGGAAUUGACGGUGUAGCGGUGAAAUGCUUAGAUAUCGUCAAGAACACCUAUAGCGAAGGCAGCUUACUAGGCUGUAACUGACGCUGAGGCACGAAAGUGUGGGGAUCAAACAGG